CUACCCGGGUAUCUAAUCCUGUUCGAUACCCGCACCUUCGUGCUUAAGCGUCAGUAACGUUACGGUAAGCUGCCUUCGCAAUCGGAGUUCUUCGUGAUAUCUAAGCAUUUCACCGCUACACCACGAAUUCCGCCUACCUACUACGCACUCAAGUUCAACAGUUCGCGCUGCACGAUAGAGGUUGAGCCACUAUAUUUCACAGCACGCUUAUCAAACGGCCUACGCACCCUUUAAACCCAAUAAAUCCGGAUAACGCCUGGACCUUCCGUAUUACCGCGGCUGCUGGCAC
rnacentral:rRNA from 1 species